rnacentral:rRNA from 1 species
ACGCACGCUGGCGGCGUGCUUCACACAUGCAAGUCGAACGGAAAGGCCCUGCUUUUGUGGGGUGCUCGAGUGGCGAACGGGUGAGUAACACGUGAGUAACCUGCCCUUGACUUUGGGAUAACUUCAGGAAACUGGGGCUAAUACCGGAUAGGAGCUCCUGCUGCAUGGUGGGGGUUGGAAAGUUUCGGCGGUUGGGGAUGGACUCGCGGCUUAUCAGCUUGUUGGUGGGGUAGUGGCUUACCAAGGCUUUGACGGGUAGCCGGCCUGAGAGGGUGACCGGCCACAUUGGGACUGAGAUACGGCCCAGACUCCUACGGGAGGCAGCAGUGGGGAAUAUUGCACAAUGGGCGGAAGCCUGAUGCAGCAACGCCGCGUGCGGGAUGACGGCCUUCGGGUUGUAAACCGCUUUCGCCUGAGACGAAGCGUGAGUGACGGUAAUGGGUAAAGAAGCACCGGCUAACUACGUG